UACGUAGGGUGCGAGCGUUGUCCGGAAUUACUGGGCGUAAAGAGCUCGUAGGUGGUUUGUCGCGUUGUUCGUGAAAACUCACAGCUUAACUGUGGGCGUGCGGGCGAUACGGGCAGACUGGAGUACUGCAGGGGAGACUGGAAUUCCUGGUGUAGCGGUGGAAUGCGCAGAUAUCAGGAGGAACACCGGUGGCGAAGGCGGGUCUCUGGGCAGUAACUGACGCUGAGGAGCGAAAGCGUGGGGAGCCAACAGG
rnacentral:rRNA from 1 species